UCUGCUAGGAAAAAAUUUCUACAUUCUUAUAAAUAGUGUUUCAUUCUCCUCUCCAACAAACGUGGGAUUCUCACAUAGGUGAGAGAUAAGUCAGAGCCCAUUUGCUGAAAAACUACUCCACAACAUGAAGCCUAACAACAUGAAGCCUAGCUCUAGGAAAAUUAGAAGCAAAUCAGGUCGUCCGCCAUCUAAAAAACUAAAAGAUCGCAAGGCUUCAGCUCACAUGGAGUUAACAACCACAUCAAUUAUAAAAAUUUAGGAACCUUUAGUAACAUACCCGAGCUAAAUCUCAUUUUAUUUAUCAAAAUAAAUUCUCAGCACAAUCUAUCUCUGACGGUUAGGAAUUAUACUGACUUUAGAUGGUAAAAAUAAGGGCAGAAAUGGUUUCGGGAGGGCUGAAAAACCUUGGAAUCGAUAUAUUAUUAGUGAUACCAAGCCGAUAAGCCGAGCCAUCGAGCCAAUACCCGAGCCGACGAGUCGAGAACGAUGGAGUCGAGCCGCUUAACACUCGUGGGAUUCUCUGGACGGUCGUCUGCGGAGUUGGGCUGCCAACGGAAAUGCGGCCCGUUACUGUUUGGGCCGAAUUGGAGGCUGAGCACAAGGCGGGUUACCCGACCCGCUUUGUCAUCUUCCUAACCUGCAACCAUGCGAAACUCUAACUUGGCGUUGCGCCGUCAAUGAUGCAGUCGUCCUGCUUCGAUUCCGACUUUCACUUCUCCUGACGGGCACGAGGCGACACGACCCAACGCGAUCCAACAUCUCGUCUGCCAACCCUAAUCGAUUUCGACCCCUUUGUCGAUUCUCCCUCCAGACAGCAAGGUCACUUGUUCCAACAACUCAUCGAAAAACCCGCGAACCAACCCACACGAUUUUCCCUCUAACACUCGAUUUUCCCGUUCUUUCAGAUACCCUCGAACACAGAAACGAGUUUGGAGAGCAAAAGUCGUUUUUCAAGGAAAGAGAAGGGUUAAAUAUAGGAAUAUAAAGGGUCUCGUAACAUUUCCAUUGAGGUAAUAACUUUCUUGUCAGAAAUCGCGCACCUUUUUCGGCAAGAAUAAAUGCAUAGCAUAAUAUCUUUUAAUUUUUGCAGCAAAAAUAAAAUCUCAACAUAAAAUCUAAAAGAAAUAAAAUCUGAACCCUUACAUUAUCUCCUAAAAAGGACUUUCGUCCUCAAAAGUCUCUAUAGCCAGAAAUAACUCUGGAUACUUCUCUUUCAUAUCAUCUUCUCGUUCCCAUGUAGUCUCCUUCAUUUGUUGAUUUUUCCAUCACACCUUGACAAAAGCAAUGUUUUUGGUGCGGAGAGUCCUUACCUUGCGAGCUAAAAUUCCGAAUGGUUGUUCCUCAUAGCAUAAGUCUUCUGCCACUUCCAGAGCCUCAUAAUCUAUCACAUGUGUGAGAUUGGCCAUAUACUUACGAAGUAUAGAUACAUGAAACACAUUGUGUACGGUUGAUAACGAUGGUGGUAGGGCUAACCUAUAUGCGAUGAGUCCAAUCCGCUCCAAAAUUUCAAAAGGUCCUAUAAAGCGUGGACUCAGUUUACUUUUGGGUCCAAACCUUAGAACAUCUUUCAUUGGCGCCACUUUCAAGAAUACCUUGUCGCCCACUUUAAACUCUAGAUUUCUUCUUCUUGAGUCCGCAUAGCUUUUCUGUCUACUCUGAGCAGUGCGGCAUCCUUUCUCUAAUCUCUUGUACGGUUUCAUUCUUGACUUGUACUAAUGGUUCGGAUUUUAUUUAUUUUAGAUUUUAUGUUGAGGUUUUAUUUUUGCCGCAAAAAAUGAAAAGAUAUUAUGCUAUGCAUUUAUUCUCGCCGGAAAAGGUGUGCGAUUUCCGACAAGAAAGUUAUUACUUUAAUGGAAAUGUUAUGAAACUCUUUAUAUUUCUAUAUUCAAUCCUUCUCUUUCUUUAAAAAACGACUUUUGCUCUCCAAACUCAUUUCUGUGUACGAGGGUAUUUGAAAGAACGGGAAAAUCAAGAGUGUUAGAGGGGAAAGCGUGUGGGUUGGUUUGCGGGUUUUUCGGUGAGUUGUCGGAACAAGUGACCUUAUUGUCCGGAGGGAGAAUUGACGAAGGGGUCGGAAUCGAUUAGGGUUGGGGAGACGAGAUGUCGAAUCGCGUUGGGUCGUGUCGCCUCGUGCACGGGGAGAAGUGAAAGUCGGAAUCAGAGUAGGACGGCCGCAUCGUUGACGCCGCAACACCGAGUUAGGGUUUCACGUGGUUGUAGGUUAGGCAGAUGAUGAAGCAGGCCGGGUCUCGCCUCCAGUUCGGCCCAAAUAGUAACGGGCCGCGUUUUCAUUGGCGACCCAACUCCACAUACGAACGUCCAGAGAAUCCUGCGCCUUCACACGCGUAACGGCUCAGCUCCCACGUGUAUUAAGCGUCCCGACUCCAUCGUUCUCGGGUGUUGGCUCGGCUGAUCGACUCAGUAUCACUAUAAUAUAUCGAUUACAAGGUUUUCAACCCUCUCAAAGCCGUUUCUGCCCUUAUUUUUACCAUUUGAGGUCAGUAUGGUUCCUAAUUGUCAAAAACAGAUUGUGCUGGUAGUUUAUUUUGAUAAAUAGCAUGAGAUUUAGCUAGAGUAUAUUAUGAAAGGUUCCUAAAUUUUUAUGUGGUUAUUAUAAGACGUAAUUAACCGUUGGAAUUAACUUGUUUUGAGUGACUUUGGCCAAGGUUAUCGAGGUAAAGACAAGGCACCAAUGUACGGUUGACGGUGGAGCUGAGGACACCAUAGAAGUGGACGAGGGGCAUUUUUAGUAGUUUACAUUUAUUUGACUGUUUUAAAUUAAUGCAUUGAACAUUGUUUUAUUUAUAUUUGUUUUGAAUUCGGCGUUUUAUUUUCAGAGUUAGGUUUGUUUGGAUUUUUGGAACUUUGUUGUGUUUUCCAAUGUGAUUUACGAUGAGCUUUCGUGUAAUGAGUUAUGUAUUCAUGGGUGAUAUCAC